AGCGAACGCUGGCGGCAGGCCUAACACAUGCAAGUCGAACGGACCCUUCGGGGUUAGUGGCGGACGGGUGAGUAACACGUGGGAACGUGCCUUUAGGUUCGGAAUAGCUUCUGGAAAAGGGUGGUAAUGCCGAAUGUGCCCUUCGGGGGAAAGAUUUAUCGCCUUUAGAGCGGCCCGCGUCUGAUUAGCUAGUUGGUGAGGUAACGGCUCACCAAGGCGACGAUCAGUAGCUGGUCUGAGAGGAUGACCUGCCACACUGGGACUGAGACACGGCCCAGACUCCUACGGGAGGCAGCAGUGGGGAAUCUUGCGCAAUGGGCGAAAGCCUGACGCAGCCAUGCCGCGUGAAUGAUGAAGGUCUUAGGAUUGUAAAAUUCUUUCACCGGGGACGAUAAUGACGGUACCCGGAGAAGAAGCCCCGGCUAACUUCGUGCCAGCCGCCGCAGUAA
rnacentral:rRNA from 1 species